AUUGAACGCUGGCGGCAUGCUUUACACAUGCAAGUCGAACGGUAACAGGGUGCUUGCACCGCUGACGAGUGGCGAACGGGUGAGUAAUGCGUCGGAACGUGCCGAGUAGUGGGGGAUAACGCAGCGAAAGUUGUGCUAAUACCGCAUACGUACUGAGGUAGAAAGUGGGGGACCUUCGGGCCUCACGCUAUUCGAGCGGCCGACGUCUGAUUAGCUAGUAGGUGAGGUAAAGGCUCACCUAGGCGACGAUCAGUAGCGGGUCUGAGAGGAUGAUCCGCCACACUGGGACUGAGACACGGCCCAGACUCCUACGGGAGGCAGCAGUGGGGAAUUUUGGACAAUGGGCGAAAGCCUGGUCCAGCCAUGCCGCGUGUCUGAAGAAGGCCUUCGGGUUGUAAAGGACUUUUGUCGGGGAGGAAAUCCCCAGCGCUAAUACCGCUGGGGGAUGACAGUACCUGAAGAAUAAGCACCGGCUAACUACGUGCCAGCCGCCGCCGUAAUAC
rnacentral:rRNA from 1 species